GUGGGGAAUCUUAGACAAUGGGGGAAACCCUGAUCUAGCCAUGCCGCGUGAGCGAUGAAGGCCUUAGGGUUGUAAAGCUCUUUCAGCUGGGAAGAUAAUGACGGUACCAGCAGAAGAAGCCCCGGCUAACUCCGUGCCAGCAGCCGCGGUAAUACGGAGGGGGCUAGCGUUGUUCGGAAUUACUGGGCGUAAAGCGCGCGUAGGCGGACCAGAAAGUUGGAGGUGAAAUCCCAGGGCUCAACCUUGGAACUGCCUUCAAAACUCCUGGUCUGGAGUUCGAGAGAGGUGAGUGGAAUUCCGAGUGUAGAGGUGAAAGUCGUAGAUAUUCGGAGGAACACCAGUGGCGAAGGCGGCUCACUGGCUCGAUACUGACGCUGAGGUGCGAAAGCGUGGGGAGCAAACAGGAUUAGAUACCCGGGUAGUCC
rnacentral:rRNA from 1 species